ACAGGUUUUAUAUAUUUAAUUUUAUAUUCUUGGAGUUGUAUGAACUUAUUGUUUUUAAUGAAUAUCUUCUUUUAUUUCAUGUUUAAUUUCUGUGAUUUGAAAUAUGAAGUUUAUACAACUGCUCUUCAUGAUCAUUGAAGUAAAAAUAAGAUAGUUCAUAAUUAAGAAAGAUGCAAUGUGUUGCCACCUUAGAUUAGGGUAGACAUUUCA
rnacentral:lncRNA from 1 species